rnacentral:rRNA from 1 species
AUUGAACGCUGGCGGCAGGCCUAACACAUGCAAGUCGCGCGAGCGGCGGACGGGUGAGUACUGUAUGGGGACUGCCCGAUAGAGGGGGCUAACUACUGGAAACGGUGGCUAAUACCGCAUACUAUCGGAUAACCCAUAUGGGAUUAGCUCGUAGGUGGGGUAAAGGCUCACCUAGGCGACGAUCUCUAGCUGGUCUGAGAGGAUGAUCAGCCACACGGUGACUGAGACACGGCCCAGACUCCACCGGAGUCAGAAGUGGGGAAUAUUGGACAAUGGGCGCAAGCCGGAUGCAGCCAUGCCGCGUGUAUGACGAAGGCCUGAGGGUUGUAGAAUACUGUCAGCGGGGAGGCGUUACCCGCAGAAGAAGCACCGGCUAACUCCGUGCCAGCAGCCGCGGUAAUAC